GCCAAGCAUUUAUGGACCGGAUCCUUCUAUUCCAUCCCACGUCACCACCCCAGAAUGGAAGGAGGGAAGAGAAAGGGACUUAUUCUCCAGACUCUUUCACCAACCGUCCCAAGGCCUUGAAAUCACAGUGUGUGAUCUCACAGACUGCCAAGAGUUGGUGCAGAGCUCCCACAUCCUGCCACACC